CAGCAUUUCAGUUGGAUUGAGGUCUGGACUUUGACUGAACCAUUGCAACACAUUGAUUCUUUGCUUUUUCAGCCAUUCUCUUGUAGCUUUACUGGUGUGCUUGGGAUCGUCUUGUUGCAUGACCCAAUUUCACCGAAGCUUGAGCAGUCGGAUAGACAGCCUCAAUUUUGUAUACAGAUGAGUACAUGAAAGACUCAAUGACAGCAAGGUUCCCAAG